CAGUAGCCGCGGUAAUACGAAGGGUGCAAGCGUUAAUCGGAAUUACUGGGCGUAAAGCGCGCGUAGGUGGUUUGGUAAGAUGGAUGUGAAAUCCCUGGGCUCAACCUGGGAACUGCAUCCAUAACUGCCUGACUAGAGUACGGUAGAGGGUGGUGGAAUUUCCUGUGUAGCUGUGAAAUGCGUAGAUAUAGGAAGGAACACCAGUGGCGAAGGCGACCACCUGGACUGAUACUGACACUGAGGUGCGAAAGCGUGGGGAGCAAACAGGAUUAGAUACCCGUGUAGUCCCUGUCUCUUAUAC
rnacentral:rRNA from 1 species